rnacentral:rRNA from 1 species
AGAGUUUGAUCCUGGCUCAGGAUGAACGCUGGCGGCGUGCUUAACACAUGCAAGUCGAACGGGAACCUCUGGAUUCGUCUGGAGGGGAGAGUGGCGAACGGGUGAGUAACACGUAGGUGACCUGCCUCGAAGACGGGGACAACCACUGGAAACGGUGGCUAAUACCCGAUAGUCUCGGUGAUUCGGUUCAUCGAGUAAAUGCUCUGGCGCUUCGAGAGGGGCCUGCGGCCCAUCAGCUAGUUGGUAGGGUAAUGGCCUACCAAGGCAGAGACGGGUAGGGGACGUGAGAGCGUGACCCCCCACACUGGCACUGGGACACGGGCCAGACUCCUACGGGGGGCAGCAGUGAGGAAUAUUGCCCAAUGGGCGAAAGCCUGAGGCAGCAACGCCGCGUGGGUGAUGAAGGCCUUCGGGUCGUAAAACCCUUUUCUGGGGGAAGAGAAAGGACGGUACCCCAGGAAUAAGCCUCGGCUAACUAUGUGCCAGCAGCCGCGGUAACACAUAGGAGGCGAGCGUUAUCCGGAUUUACUGGGCGUAAAGAGCGUUGAGGCGGCCCCGUAAGUUGGACGUGAAAGCUCCCGGCUCAACUGGGAGAGGUCGUUCAAUACUGCAGGGCUUGAGGACAGCAGAGGGGGGUGGAAUUCCCGGUGUAGUGCUGAAAUGCGUAGAUACCGGGAGGAACACCGGUGUCGAAAGGCGGCCCCCUGGGCUGCUCCUGACGCUGAAUGCGAAGCUAGGGGAGCGAAAGGGAUUAGAWACCCCGGUAGUCCUAGCUGUAAACGAUGAACACUAGGCGUUGCUUGUAUCGACCCGAGCAGUGCCGUAGCCAACGCGUUAAGUGUUCCGCCUGGGGAGUACGCACGCAAGUGUGAAACUCAAAGGAAUUGACGGGGGCCCGCACAAGCGGUGGAGUAUGUGGUUUAAUUCGAUGCAACGCGAAGAACCUUACCAGGACUUGACAUGUCGCGAAUCCUUCAGAGAUGAGGGAGUGCCUUAGGGAGCGCGAACACAGGUGGUGCAUGGCUGUCGUCAGCUCGUGUCGUGAGAUGUUGGGUUAAGUCCCGCAACGAGCGCAACCCUCAUUCUUAGUUGCCAGCAUUAAGUUGGGCACUUUAGGAAGACUGCCGGUGACAAACCGGAGGAAGGUGGGGAUGACGUCAAGUCAGCAUGCCCCUUACGUUCUGGGCUACACACGUACUACAAUGGUUGGGACAAAGGGCAGCGAGCGAGCGAUCGUAAGCGAAUCUCAGCAAACCCAGCCUCAGUUCAGAUUGCAGGCUGCAACUCGCCUGCAUGAAGGAGGAAUCGCUAGUAAUCGCAGGUCAGCAUACUGCGGUGAAUUCGUUCCCGGGCCUUGUACACGCCGCCCGUCACACCAUGGAAGUUGGCCACGCCCGAAGUCGUUACCCUAGCCAAUUGAGGAGGGGGAUGCCGAAGGCAGGGCUGGUGACUAGGGUGAAGUCGUAACAAGGUAGCCGUACCGGAAGGUGUGGCUGGAUCACCUCCUUA